rnacentral:rRNA from 1 species
GAUGAACGCUGGCGGCGUGCCUAAUACAUGCAAGUCGAGCGAACAGACGAGGAGCUUACUCCUCUGACGUUAGCGGCGGACGGGUGAGUAACACGUGGAUAACCUACCUAUAAGACUGGGAUAACUUCGGGAAACCGGAGCUAAUACCGGAUAACAUGUUGAACCGCAUGGUUCAACGGUGAAAGACGGUCUUGCUGUCACUUAUAGAUGGAUCCGCGUCGCAUUAGCUAGUUGGUAAGGUAACGGCUUACCAAGGCAACGAUGCGUAGCCGACCUGAGAGGGUGAUCGGCCACACUGGAACUGAGACACGGUCCAGACUCCUACGGGAGGCAGCAGUAGGGAAUCUUCCGCAAUGGGCGAAAGCCUGACGGAGCAACGCCGCGUGAGUGAAGAAGGUCUUCGGAUCGUAAAACUCUGUUAUUAGGGAAGAACAAAUGUGUAAGUAACUAUGCACGUCUUGACGGUACCUAAUCAGAAAGCCACGGCUAACUACGU